UUUUUCUUUUAUGUUAUUUUAACUUUUUUUCUUUUUUAUUUUUCAUUCCCUUCUGCUUCUCCUUUUGUUUUACUCCCUUCUUCAUUUCUUUUAACGUAGUUUUUUAUGUUUUCUAUUUGUUAAAAUUAGUCCCUAUACUUUUAUUUUUUGAACAAUUUAAAUUUUUCUUUUUAUUUAUUUAUUUUCCUUUUCUUCUUCCCC
rnacentral:lncRNA from 1 species